AGCGAACGCUGGCGGCAGGCUUAACACAUGCAAGUCGAGCGGGCGUAGCAAUACGUCAGCGGCAGACGGGUGAGUAACGCGUGGGAACAUACCUUUUGGUUCGGAACAACACAGGGAAACUUGUGCUAAUACCGGAUAAGCCCUUACGGGGAAAGAUUUAUCGCCGAAAGAUUGGCCCGCGUCUGAUUAGCUAGUUGGUGAGGUAACGGCUCACCAAGGCGACGAUCAGUAGCUGGUCUGAGAGGAUGAUCAGCCACAUUGGGACUGAGACACGGCCCAAACUCCUACGGGAGGCAGCAGUGGGGAAUAUUGGACAAUGGGCGCAAGCCUGAUCCAGCCAUGCCGCGUGAGUGAUGAAGGCCCUAGGGUUGUAAAGCUCUUUUGUGCGGGAAGAUAAUGACGGUACCGCAAGAAUAAGCCCCGGCUAACUUCGUGCCAGCAGCCGCU
rnacentral:rRNA from 1 species